rnacentral:rRNA from 1 species
CCGUCGUAGGGAAGCAUUGUCACCCUCCUGAGCAUCGACGGCGGGGGCGUACGCGGCAUCAUCCCGGGCACCAUCCUCGGUUUCCUCGAAGAGAAGCUCCAGGAACUUGAUGGACCCGAGGCCAGGGUUGCCGACUACUUCGACGUGAUUGCAGGGACCAGAACCGGCGGGCUGGUGACCGCCAUGCUCACCGCGCCUAAUGCCGACGGCCGCCCGCUCUUCGCCGCCAAGGACAUCAACGCCUUCUACCUGGAGCACUGCCCAAAGAUCUUCCCUCGCGUCAAGCGCGGGCCUCUCGGCUUGCUCAAGAGCAUCAAGGGGCCCAAGUACAACGGCAAAUAUCUGCACUCCGUCGUGCGAAAGCAGCUCGGGGAGACACGCGUGAGCCAAGCGUUGCAGAACAUCGUCGUCCCAGCCUUCGACAUCAAGCUGCUGCAGCCAAUCAUCUUCUCCAGAUACGAUGCUCAAAGCGACGUCUCCAAAGACGCCCUCCUCUCCGACGUAUGCAUCAGCACGUCCGCCGCGCCCACCUACCUGCCCGGCCACCACUUCGAGACCACGGACAAGCACGGCAAGCCACGCGCAUUCAAUCUGAUCGACGGCGGCGUCGCGGCAAACAACCCGACGCUGCUGGCCAUGACCCACGUCAGCAAGCAGAUCCUCAUGGGCAACAAUGAUUUCUUCCCAAUCAAACCGGCCGACUAUGGGAAGUUCCUCAUCCUCUCCCUGGGCACCGGGUCGGCCAAGCUCACGGAGAUGAGCAGGGACGUCAGUUAUCAACUUCAGAUCUCCAUUGCUCCUGGCCAUGGCAGCGAUUUCAUGGGCCAGUUUAUUGCAUCCGGCCCCUUCCUACCAGACUGGCCUUGGCCGACGCAAAAAGUUUGA